CUUUCUUUGCUUCGUUUUUUGGGGGGAUUGAAUCCUAAUUUUUUGUUUUCUCUUUUCUGGAGAGAAUCUCCUGUGGGGAAUGCAGAGAGAUGAGAGGUGCUUCGUUGACAAAGAGUGAACUGUGUGGCCGUGCCAAACGGUGUAUCGGCGGCCGAAAUUGCCACCGGAAACACGUCGAGGACGGGUGAACUGAUCCUUUCUCAAUCAAGAAAACCGCACAAACUCCCUCCUUUUUUAUUUUCUUUUCUCAGAAUUUUUUUUUUGCCUUCUCGCACCUCCACAUCUUUGUAUAUACUAUUAGAAUAAAAUCUUGUCUCUGUAGCGAUUCUCUUUCUGGGUAUGGCUGAAAGGAGCAAAGAUGGUCACCCGACCUUGCUUCAUGGGAGAUACGAGCUUGGCCGGAUGCUCGGACAUGGCACUUUCGCUAAGGUCUACCAUGCUCGGAAUUUGCAGACGGGAAAGAGCGUGGCUAUGAAGGUGGUCGGCAAAGAGAAGGUCAUAAAGGUCGGUAUGAUGGAGCAAAUCAAGAGGGAAAUUUCUGUUAUGAAGAUGGUGAAGCACCCAAAUAUUGUCGAGCUUCACGAGGUCAUGGCGAGUAAAUCUAAGAUCUAUUUCGCUAUGGAACUUGUUCGAGGCGGUGAGUUGUUCGCCAAGAUUGCUAAGGGUCGAUUGAGGGAGGACGUUGCUAGAGUUUAUUU
rnacentral:misc_RNA from 1 species